UACGUAGGGGGCGAGCGUUGUCCGGAGUUACUGGGCGUAAAGGGCAUGCAGGCGGUCGGACGCGUUUCGGGUGACAGUGGGUGGCUUAACUACCCGAGCGGUCGAAAGACGGUUCGACUUGAGGACGCGAGAGGGACACGGAAUUCCGGGUGGAGUGGUGAAAUGCGUAGAGAUCCGGAGGAACACCGAAGGCGAAGGCAGUGUCCUGGCGCGUGACUGACGCUGAGGUGCGAAAGCCAGGGGAGCGAACGGG
rnacentral:rRNA from 1 species